UACGGGGGGGGCAAGCGUUGUUCGGAAUUACUGGGCGUAAAGGGCUCGUAGGCGGCCAACUAAGUCAGACGUGAAAUCCCUCGGCUUAACCGGGGAACUGCAUCUGAUACUGGAUGGCUUGAGUUCGGGAGAGGGAUGCGGAAUUCCAGGUGUAGCGGUGAAAUGCGCAGAUAUCAGGAGGAACACCGGUGGCGAAGGCGGAUCUCUGGGCCUUACCUGACGCUCAGGCGCGAAAGCUAGGGGAGCGAACUGG
rnacentral:rRNA from 1 species